UACGAAGGGGGCUAGCGUUGCUCGGAAUCACUGGGCGUAAAGCGCACGUAGGCGGCUUUUUAAGUCAGAGGUGAAAUCCUGGAGCUCAACUCCAGAACUGCCUUUGAUACUGGAGAGCUUGAGUCCGGGAGAGGUGAGUGGAACUGCGAGUGUAGAGGUGAAAUUCGUAGAUAUUCGCAAGAACACCAGUGGCGAAGGCGGCUCACUGGCCCGGUACUGACGCUGAGGUGCGAAAGCGUGGGGAGCAAACAGGAAUUAAGAAACC
rnacentral:rRNA from 1 species